UACGUAGGGUGCAAGCGUUGUCCGGAAUUAUUGGGCGUAAAGAGCUCGUAGGCGGUCUGUCACGUCGGCUGUGAAAAUCCAGGGCUCAACCCUGGACCUGCAGUCGAUACGGGCAGACUAGAGUCCGGCAGGGGAGACUGGAAUCCUGGUGUAGCGGUGAAAUGCGCAGAUAUCAGGAGGAACACCGAUGGCGAAGGCAGGUCUCUGGGCUGACACUGACGCUCAUGCACGAAAGCGUGGGGAGCAAACAGG
rnacentral:rRNA from 1 species